UACGAAGGGGGCUAGCGUUGUUCGGAUUUACUGGGCGUAAAGCGCACGUAGGCGGAUUGUUAAGUCAGGGGUGAAAUCCCGGAGCUCAACUCCGGAACUGCCUUUGAUACUGGCAAUCUUGAGGCUGGAAGAGGUUAGUGGAAUUCCCAGUGUAGAGGUGAAAUUCGUAGAUAUUGGGAAGAACACCAGUGGCGAAGGCGACAUACUGGUCCGUUACUGACACUGAGGCUCGAAAGCGUGGGGAGCAAACAGG
rnacentral:rRNA from 1 species